AAUACCAUGACCUGAGGAAGAAAUAAAAACAGCCUCAAAAGAAGAAAAAAUAAAUUAAGACAAAUUACGAAGAAGCUUGCUGCCACCAACCAGACAUGAUGUGGUGAGGCUGGAGGAUUAAACUAUUUGGAGUGAAAAGGCAGCUGUGAUGGAGGAGGUGAGUUCAACAUCCUACAGUUUUAGGAAAGGAGAUGGUCAUAUCCUGUUGACAACUUAAGAGACACUCCUAGAUCAACCAUAGGAAGAACCUCCAACCUGUGCACCAUCCUCUGAACCACCGUCAGUGCCAGCUGACAGAGGUGUGGAUGAGAGUGUAACAGCUGAGCAGUUUCCCUCUCCACCUGAGCUCAGAAGAUCCAUCUGACAGACUGAAUUUUUAACACCCAAGACAGCGGUGUGUGUCCUUUUAUUUAAAUAAAUAAAGAAGGAAAGAAAGAAAGAAAACUGAACUGGACUGUUGUUUGAAACAGAAAUAUUGCACCUAAAAUUAGAUAUCUGUUUAUGGUUGUUAAAAUAAAAGUUGUGUUUUUAAUUACAAACAGGCUCAUACACAAAUGGGGUUUUAUGUUUUUAUGUUAAAUCGUAUUGUUAAGGAAGAUAACUAAAUAUGAGAAAAUUGUUAGCCGACUUUGUUGUGUGACUUUAAUCUGUUUAUGUUUUUUAAGAAAAUGGUGAGCUAGUGCUGGGACGGUAGGAACCUGUUAUACCUCCGUCCGCUAGAGGGCAGUGCAUCCUUCACGGGAGGUUUAACUUCCGGGUCACGCAGCAAGAACGUUUGAUGCUAACGUGAAACUACAGCUGGAGACUCCGGCGUAUCUGGAUACUGACUAUUGCUGCUUUCUGUCCUCUGUGGAGACCAGCUCUCUGGGAGAAACGACGGGGCGGGAGAAGGAUCGGACCAAGACUUGUUAUCGACGGGACCCUCGUCGGGAAGGAAGUGUUACCUGCAGAUGGUCAACAGCUGUUGGUGAUUGAAGAGGGAGUUCCCUGGAAAUGGAGUCUGGACAAGCAGGAUUCAGAUCCUCUCUGCAUAGAAGAGGAACCAGAGGAACUGUUGCCCAAUCAGGAUGUGAUAAAAGUGAUAAAAGGGCACAUGGUUCAGGUCUAAACGAUGAUGUAGAGUGUAACACUGUCAACAACUCCCUCAGCUGCUCUGAAUGUGGUGAAGCGUUUACUGACCAACAAUCUCUCCAGAGACAUUUAAAAGAGAAGCCUUUGAGUUGUUUGAAUCAUAAGAAAUGUUUUAAAGGGACACCAAAUGUAAAUUCUCAGAAAAGGGUCCCCACAGGGGAAAAAACUGUUGGAUGUGAUGUUUGUGGUAAAAUCUGUAGUCAUAAAGCAGAUCUAAAGAUACACAUGAGAAUCCACACAGGAGACAAAACAUUCAGCUGUGAUGAAUGUGGACAAAGAAUUAGUCACAAGACAAACUUAAGCCGACACAUGAGAAUCCACACAGGAGAAAAACCAUUCAGCUGUGAUGAAUGUGGACAAAGAUUUAGUCACAAGACAAACUUAGACCGACACAUGAGAAUCC